rnacentral:rRNA from 1 species
UACGGGAGGCAGCAGUGGGGAAUAUUGCACAAUGGGCGAAAGCCUGAUGCAGCUAUGCCGCGUGUAUGAAGAAGGCCUUAGGGUUGUAAAGUACUUUCAUCGGGGAGGAAAAAACAAAACUAAUAAUUUUAUUUCUUGACGUUACCCGAAAAAGAAGCACCGGCUAACUCCGUGCCAGCAGCCGCGGUAAUACGGAGGGUGCUAGCGUUAAUCAGAAUUACUGGGCGUAAAGAGCACGUAGGUGGUUUUUUUAAGUCAGAUGUGAAAUCCCUGGGCUUAACCUGGAACUGCAUUUUGAAACUGAAAUACUAGAGUAUCGUAGAGGGAGGUAGAAUUCUAGGUGUAGCGGUGAAAUGCGUAGAUAUCUGGAGGAAUACCUGUGGCGAAAGCGGCCUCCUAAACGAAUACUGACACUGAGGUGUGAAAGCGUGGGGAGCAAACAGGGAUUAGAUACC